rnacentral:snoRNA from 1 species
GAGCUGUGAUGAAUGUUGUGCCUCGUGUGAUAGUAGGGUCUAUCAUUAAUGUCUGUUUCUUGGGACAAAAUUGGUUCCAUUUGAGCUC